UCCUACGGGGCGCAGCAGUGAGGAAUAUUGGUCAAUGGUCGGGAGACUGAACCAGCCAAGCCGCGUGAGGGAGGAAGGUACAGAGUAUCGUAAACCUCUUUUGUCAGGGAACAAAGGCGGGGACGUGUCCCCGGAUGAGUGUACCUGAAGAAAAAGCAUCGGCUAACUCCGUGCCAGCAGCCGCGGUAAUACGGAGGAUGCGAGCGUUAUCCGGAUUUACUGGGUGUAAAGGGAGCGUAGGCGGUUCAGCAAGUCAGAAGUGAAAGCCCGGGGCUCAACUCCGGGACUGCCUUUGAAACUGUUGG
rnacentral:rRNA from 1 species